rnacentral:rRNA from 1 species
AUUGAACGCUGGCGGCAUGCCUUACACAUGCAAGUCGAACGCGAAAGGGGGGCAACCCCCGAGUAGGGUGGCGGACGGGUGAGUAAUACAUCGGAACGUACCCAGUAGUGGGGGACAACCUCGAGAAAUCGAGGCUAAUACCGCAUACGACCCACGGGUGAAAGCGGGGGACCGCAAGGCCUCGCGCUAUUGGAGCGGCCGAUGUCCGAUUAGCUAGUUGGUGGGGUAAGAGCCCACCAAGGCGACGAUCGGUAGCUGGUCUGAGAGGACGGCCAGCCACACUGGAACUGAGACACGGUCCAGACUCCUACGGGAGGCAGCAGUGGGGAAGUUUGGACAAUGGGGGCAACCCUGAUCCAGCCAUGCCGCGUGAGUGAAGAAGGCCUUCGGGCUGUAAAGCUCUUUCGGCCGGGAAAAAAUCGCAUGGGUUAAUACCCUGUGUGGAUGAUGGUACCGGAAUAAGAAGCACCGGCUAACUACGUGCCAGCAGCCGCCGUAACAC